rnacentral:rRNA from 1 species
UACGUAGGGGGCUAGCGUUGUCCGGAUUUAUUGGGCGUAAAGAGCGUGUAGGCGGCCAGGUAGGUCUGCUGUGAAAACUCGAGGCUCAACCUCGAGACGUCGGCGGAAACCAUCUGGCUAGAGUCCGGAAGAGGAGAGUGGAAUUCCUGGUGUAGCGGUGAAAUGCGUAGAUAUCGGGAGGAACACCUAUGGCGAAAGCAGGCUUCUGGGCUAUCACUGACGCUGAUCUGCGAAAGCUAGGGGAGCAAACAGG